UUUGUUAAUUUUGCUGAUUUGGUCCACUUUGUAGUUUUUACUUUGUAAUCCUGUAUUUGCAGACAAUAUUGUAUUGUUGAGACUUGGGUGUCUGUGUUACAUGUACUUUGUACUAUUUCAUAAAUAAUUAAUCAAUAUUAUGUUUCUU